AAAAGAACGGAUCGAGCAGACAAUUUUAAACGCUCGCUGCUCCAAAUCGCCCCGUAGUUCGUUCCGGUAACUACUUCACAAAGCUGCCACCGCCAAGGCCGCCGCCGCUAUGAGUUUUAUCGCGACCGCCAAGACACAGGUAAUAUCAAUGGCCGUUGGUUCCGCCAACGGCCCUCCCCAGCAUCCUCCAGAAGGAUCCGGAGAAUAGCAUCGGUGAGGACAGUUCCGAGCAGCGGUCGAAGGUUUAAGUUUGAUUGACGCGGUCAUGCCGAAGGUGGUGGCCAUCCGGCAGAACAUGCCGAAUCACCAGCAAAAGACGAUUAAACCGGAGGUUGCGGAAACCAACGGGACGACGAGCAGCGGAAGGAAAUGAAGUUUUGGUUAUAUUACCAUAAUUUAAAAAUAUAUAUACAUUGAAAAUUUAAA